UACGUAGGGGGCAAGCGUUGUCCGGAAUUAUUGGGCGUAAAGAGCGUGUAGGCGGUUCGGUAAGUCAGCUGUGAAAGUCAAGGGCUCAACCCUUGAAUGCCGGUUGAUACUGUCGGGCUAGAGUCCGGAAGAGGCGAGUGGAAUUCCCGGUGUAGCGGUGAAAUGCGCAGAUAUCGGGAGGAACACCAAUGGCGAAGGCAGCUCGCUGGGACGGUACUGACGCUGAGACGCGAAAGCGUGGGGAGCAAACAGG
rnacentral:rRNA from 1 species